AGGAUAUAAACGUAAGCGCUUUCAAAAUGUGAAGGGAGAUGGGACGGAUGGGAGUAAUCAUUUGCCAAACGUGUGAAACAACAAUUGAGCAUUUUGAAGAGGAAAAAGUGACCACUUUAUAUUCAAACACAUGCCCGCAUUGCCAUGAGCAAACGAACUUAGAUAAGUAAGAAAAAAAGAAGACCUCCUAAGGUCUUCUUUUUUAU
rnacentral:sRNA from 1 species